rnacentral:SRP_RNA from 1 species
UCCAGAUCCCGGUGGGCGCUCGUGCGCCAACCCCGCCAGGGCCGAAAGGCAGCAACGGUACGCGAGGCGUUCGUCGCAUCGGUCGGUCUGGAGCA